rnacentral:rRNA from 1 species
AAAACUUUCAACAACGGAUCUCUUGGUUCUGGCAUCGAUGAAGAACGCAGCAAAAUGCGAAAAUUAAUGUGAAUUGCAGAAUUCAGUGAAUCAUCGAGUUUUUGAACGCACAUUGCGCCCUCCGGUAUCCCGGGGGGCAUGCCUGUUCGAGCGUCAUUU